GCCGAAGUGGCGGAAUGGUAUACGCAGAGGACUCAAAAUCCUCCGGGUUCACGCUCGUGGGGGUUCGACUCCCCCCUUCGGCACCA
rnacentral:tRNA from 1 species